UAAAAUUAUUUGUUUUAAAAUAUUUUUAUGAUGUCAAUUCUACAUUUGUCUCUUCUUUUGGGUGGGUUGCCUCAUGAAACCUACCAUUCCGAACUAAAAAUAGUAUUUCUUCCGGUCUACUGAAAUGCAAACAGGUGAAGAGAGACCGUUGUAAGACUAAAGCUUUCAAUUUAAUUGAGUUUUAUCAACUUAAUCAAUUCUAUUAACAGAGCCUUAUCUCUUUAUAUUAGAUAUCAGUAGCUAGCUAUCAAAUUAAGCUUUGUCCUCUUAAAAGAAAAUCAUCAACUUUAUCUCUUGAUGAACCACAUAACGUCACUGAAAAAAUAAAAGCAAGGACAGAACUCAGAAGCACCACGUCAUUAAUGCAUAUAUAUAUGUGUCCAAACAUCAAAAGCGAUGUCAUUUAUCGCAUCUUCGUUGAUUAAAAAAAUGUUGUCACAAGUUGUUAUUGUUUUGAUCUUCACCAACGUUGUUGCAUCACAAUCCAUCAUCAACACUCUACCUGGGUAUGAUGGAGAGCUACCGUUUACGCUUGAAACAGGAUAUAUUGGAGUAGGAGAGAUGGACGAGGUGCAGCUAUUCUACUACUUCAUUGAGUCUGAGAGAAGUCCAAAUCUUGAUCCUCUGGUGCUUUGGCUUACCGGAGGACCUGGCUGCUCUGCUUUAUCUGCCAUUUUCUACGAAAUUGGACCAAUAACUUUCAACUACUCAAACUUUAGUUGGGGUGCUCUACCAACAUUGGUGUUGAACCCUUACUCAUGGACCAAGGUCGCAAAUAUAAUAUUUUUAGAUGCACCUGUAGGCACUGGCUUUUCCUAUGCAACUACUUUGGAAGGAUAUGAAAUUGGUGAUCUCUCGUCAAUAGCACAAACCUAUGAAUUUCUAAGAAAGUGGCUUUUGGCUCACCCAAAGUUUGUCUUUCAUCCACUCUAUAUUGCUGGUGAUUCUUAUUCAGGCAUUAUUGUUCCCAUGCUCGUUCAAGAUAUAACUAACGGUAUUGAAGUUGGAGACAAGCCACUCAAUAAUAUAAGGGGAUUUUUUCUAGGCAAUCCAUUGACCGAUGAAAACAUUGAUAUGAAUGCAAGAGUUAUAUUUGCUUACAGAAAGGCACUUUUAUCAGAUGAACUUUAUGAGUCCACAAAAAAGGAUUGCAAAGGAGAGUACUAUUUUCCUCCAGAUCCAAGCAAUGUAGCUUGUAUUACUAAUCUCCAAGCUGUCAAAAAUGUGAGAAGGAUUAAAACUCUAUUUCCUUAAUUAAGAUAUGUUUCUUAUGCAGUUAUGCUUCAAGAUUACUUAAUAAGCAGCUUUCUUAUCUCAUAGUGCCUUGAAAAGAUAUAUCUUCCCAAUGUAUUGGGGCCAAAAUGUUCUGAAUUUCUUUACACUAGAGUGGAAUACUCGGAACA
rnacentral:misc_RNA from 1 species